GACUUUCAUGAUGUCAUCAUGAGGUAAACUAUGCCAGCGUACCCUUCCUGCCCCCUGUGGAAGCCGGACUAGAUUUCCUGCUUGUCGCUUAUUGAAGGUUCAAUACAGCUCGUACUGUGGGCUAUGAAGGGAUGUGGGGAACAAAACGACUCUCCACAUCAUGUACCCAGAGAGCGCUGUGGAUUUGGAUGACCACACACAUCUCAUAUUAUUUCCCUUCAAAAUAAGGGACCUUGAGUGGCUAGUCAGCGCUUUCACCACAAAAUCUGUGAAAAUGACAAACAAAGGGUUGAAAUCAACAGUCAAAGCAAAUCAGGGUUUGGUGGGUUUUAAGUGAUGUUCAUGGUUUGCCAGAUACCACAUAGUGGUGACCUUUUACAAAUGUUUUCUAGUUCUGAAAGGUACAAUAUGUCAAUGUAAUGC
ensembl:lncRNA